GCAUAUAUCUCUCUUCGGCUACUUUUUUUUCCCUUCACACAAACAAAACACAAUACUUUGCUUCCAGGGUUUCGUUUUUCUCCUCUGUAAAUUCUCUCCUCUCCGAUCUCCGUCAAUUUUCAAUUUCGUGAACUUCCGAUUCGCAAAGAUCCGGUUACGGUUUUUUGGUUUUUUUUUGGUUGUUUGGUGGCGGAACCCUAAUUUUAUCGGGAUUUGGAAGAUUUCAUGCGAUGCGAAGAGGAAUUGAGGUUCGUUUAGGUGUUUGAAGAUCUUGCGGUUUUGGUUUGGUUCGAUUUGAUUUGAUUUUUGAAAAAAAAAA
rnacentral:misc_RNA from 1 species